rnacentral:lncRNA from 1 species
CAGGACUUGAAAAUGUUAACUUCUGAGGCUAAGAACGAUUUUUCAAAGACAAAGAGAAAGUAUUUGAGAAGGAGGCCUUCCGGUGUAGCGGCGCCUCUCUGAUAACGCACACAAUUUUGGGGGCGGGCGAAGGAGAAUUACUCGUUUAAAUUAAAUCGUAAGCCCCGAGCCUGGCUGCAGUGGGAUGGAGAGACCCCCACCACCACCUUGGAAAAAUAAAAGAUGUGGAAGGCCCCUCUGGGUGGUUUGGACCUGGCAGAGAGGCGUGGGGGGCUGCGGCUGGAUGCCCGGUGUAAUGGAGCCAGCCUGUAGGGGGUAUUUAACAUUUAAUUCCCAGCCGGUCCGCCCCUGUUCCCGGACUGACAGUGGGUAAUUGGGAAAGAGGACGUUGCUCUUUUGAUGGCCCGCGCCGGCCAGUCUCGCCGACGCCACACUGGGUUUGACGUCACGGGCCCAGCCCCAGAGCCAGGAGCGCAGAGCAGGGGGAAGGGAAGAGGAGGGGAGGGGGAUACCCGCGAGGGAGGGCCGAGGUCGGCCCCGGGACCCACGGGGAAGGAAGGGGGAAGGGAGCGAGGCCGGAGAGAGGCUGCGGCGCUUGGCCUGAGGCGGAGAGCCGGGCUGCGGGGGUCUGGGCCAGGCCAGGCGCCGGCCUGACCCGCCUCGCCGGCAAAUGCAGGCCGGGCUUCCUCCUCCGAGGGCGGGCGGGCGAUGGGAGGGGGCUCGAGGCCGGGGAAGGGGGGAAAGGUGGUCCUGAUUCCCCCAUGCAGUGGCACACCAAGCUGACGCUGGCCUCCUGCGGAGACGCCUCAGCGCCCUCCUGCAGACCUCACGCCCCCCCACCCCCAGGAACCCCGGCCCUGGCCUGGUCUAGCGAGUCCCCCCUCCUCCCCGGGAGCAGCCGGUGAAGCUCCGGUGGAGGAAGCGAGGAGGAGACCCAGGAGGAGGAUGCCGCUGCCGCUGCCGCCGCCGCCGCCGCUGCAGGGCCCAGGGCUCCUGUAGGGCACGAGGCCUCCCACAUCAGGGUAAGGGGCCGGCGAAUGGCCUGGAUGCGUGGGACCCUGGGGGCAAGCAUCCUGGAGCCGAGCAGGCGACGGCACAGCCACCGCCCUCCCCCUCCCCGCCGCGGGUCCCGGGGCCGUGAGCGGGACGGCGGCAGCCAGUUGGGCCUGUCUGAAACGCCAGGCCUCGAGGCGGCUGCUUUAGGCGUCAAGUUGAGCGGGGUGUGUGUGCCCUCUUGGGGAAAGGGUAAGAAAUGGAGCCUUCCUUUUUCUCCUUGGUUGGGGUGAGCUGGGACCCACACCCCCCCAAACACAUGCCCAUGUUCAGGUCCCUCCCACCCGCCCUCCUGGGAGUGCAGAGACUCCGUCCGGAUGGAGGUGGGGAAGCCAGUCCCGCCAAGGAACCGGAGUUCGCGGCGCAGAGGGGAGGAGCGUGACCCCCAGGCUCACCCCUGGGGUCGCAGGACCCGGCGAGCGGAGAUCCACGCGGCCAGCGUCACCCACCCGAGCCUGGCGACGGGCGCGUCCAGGCGAGCUCCGCGGGGCCGAGGUGCCAGGAGAAGCAGCCCCGGGCGCCCGCGCGCUGCCCGCCGAGGGGUACCAGAAAUGCCGCGCCUCGGGGUCGAAGUCAUAAAGUUACUAAUCCCGCGCAGGGGGAGCAAGCGUGCCUCGGGCCGCCUGGGGCGGUCAUUUGAGCGUGUUUACUUAAGGACUUUGCAAGCGGAGCGCGCGCGAAAUAGUCGGAUUUCCAGCGAGGCAGCAAAUAUUUGCAGGCGGGAGAAAGAAGCGGAGCCGGGCCGCGCCGUUAAAGACAGAAAUGAAGCCGGAACCUGCGGGGCUGGGGGCGGGGAGGGCACAGAGCGACAGCAAAGGCCAGAAAUUGGAGCGCGGCCCCGAGGCCCUUGCGAGCCGGGGCUGGAGGAGGAGAAAUCCCUCCCCAUUCCAGCUCGAUCAAUCUUCCUUGGCUGCGAUCGCUCAAUAAAAAUGGUGUGAACCGGCCGCGGUCGCUGUGCGUCUGGGGAGGAAGUAGAGGCCAGAGGUGCCGAGGCCGGCGCCGGCACCCCGCACCAGCCCGGUUCGCGGCCGGGCGGUCUGCAAGCCUUAGGCGGCCGGGAGCCGAGGGCGGCCCGGGGGGCCUUUAAUUGGUUGUCUCCAUUUUAAUAGUGGCCAUUGUUGGAGCAAUUAGCGAGAGACAAUAACCGCCAAGAGGCGUUUAAUUCGAUUCGGUGCCCCGGUUGCGGCCGGGACAAGGGCGCUCUGGAAGCAUAGGCUGGCUUGGGAGGGAAGAUCGAGUUAAGCGCCGGCUCCCUUGCUCGCCAGUUUUGUCUUAGGUGUGGGAGUUAUACUGGGGCAAGUUAAAAGCGGAGCGAGAGCUACCAGGUCCUGCUCCUGGACAGAGGAAACCCGUCCUGGGCCUCGCUAGCCCCGCAAGGCGCCCCCGGGGCCGCCGCGCCUGCUGGCAGCACGCGCCUAAACUGCGGCCAUUGCGCGCGUCCCCAGUGCCUGCUGGAGGGAAAAAAGCAGAGAGGACAGGGACGUGGAAAUCGAUCUCCUUCCUCUCGAGCCCCGGGACUGCACCUCGAUCACCCGAACCGCGUCCCAAUUUCUUUCCCCAUCGGAGGAGGUGGGGCAAAGGAGAGAACGCUCUUCUGGCGCGUGCACACCUCCCUCUCCACCGAGCCAGUCAGUACCCCCACCUCUGCCUGGGCCCUCGGAUUAGGUUACCGUGGCCGGGCGAGGAUUUUUACUGGAUACGAGAAUAGCGCAGUCCCCACCCGAGCCCCCGUCUCUUUCCCGCAUGAGCUGAAAUGAAGAGAAGGAAGCGAAACCAAAAGGUGAUGAGAAAGAAGCCGGCGUUCGGCAGUGCUCGCUGCUCUCUUAAAAUGAAACAGUGGACGUGGGGGAACGCAGAGAAAAGAGGGCCCCCCGAAACUCACUGGCAAAGGGAAGAUUCUGGAGGUGGAAACGUCAAAGGGGAAGCCCGCGGGAACUCAGGCGAAAAGAGCUCGGCACGCGCGCCUCUCUUCCCGGCUCCCACGCCUACCAGCCCCUGGCCUGGGGUCUCCCUGCCCUGGGAAAUGAGCCAUCGCUUUGGGGGUGGUAUGUGGUUUGAUUUACCUUCCCCCCUCCCUUAUUCAUCUAUCACUGUUUAAAACUCGGAAGGAAACCCUCCCGGGCCUGGAGGGGCAGCGAGAGAUGGGGAGUCAGAGACAAGAGAUGCGCUCCGAGAUUACCCCCUCCCGCCCCGCCCCCACCGCCAGCCUGGGACCUCCAGCUUCAAGCGAUCCUGGCCCUCCCUCUGCCGCUUCCCCCCUUCUCCCCGGUUGAGAAAAACCCUGAUGGUAUCGAGAUAAAAAUUGGGUAGGUAGGGGUGUAGCGGGAAGGAGGAGAGAGAGGGAGAAGACAGGGGAUUUCUGCUUUCGGGUUUAAUAGGGCCCCUGUCAAGGGGCCUUGGCAAAGGGGGGAGCCCCGCGGUUGGGUAGGAAAGAACGAUUCCCCCUUGAGGGUGAGUCGAAAGGAAUGCCAGGCGCCCUGGAGGAAGAUGCACCUCCCAGCUCUCCCUCCCUCGUGGUCUGGGGGACAGGUGAGAGGCACAAGAGGAGAGGAAGCGAUGGAGGCGGCGCUCCAGCGGGUCCGCGCGGUGCCUCCCGGCCCCAGGCCGCUUAUCUGGCCCCCAGCGGCACCGCCGACUCUCAGGAAGGCGCUCUCCUCCCCGGGGGUCCUCAGGCGGCACCGCCGAAGCGUCUGGGACUCCCAGGGAAGGGAGCGGCCACCGCAGCCAGGAAAGUGGUCAGAAGUACGAGGUCAACCGUGUGAACUCCAGGUCCUAGCAUUUUUUGGGGCGAAGAGGGGUGCACGUGGGGCGCCUGCUCCACUCCCCGUAGCCUCGCGGGGCUCCUGGCUUGUCGCCCGCCGCCUCGCCGCCUCCCAGCUCAGAGCCCCCAGCUCCGAGCCCCGAGCGCUCGCUUCAGCCCUUCAGGCGACUCGCCUCGGGUCACUUCAGUGUGGCAUUUCAGGAGCCGGAGGGCUUUAACUGGGGGCUAUUGUGUUUUUACUUCUCUUGAUAAGCCGGAAAACUGGGGUGUGAUGGUUGCUGGACAAUGGACCGCGGGCUUCAAGGGAACAGGGAGUUCACAACAGGGAGAGGGGCAAUGAGAGAGGGUCGUUUCGUUCAGAUCAGGAGACAGUAGCGGCGAGGUUCUAAAAGCACGAAUUGUCAUUUGUUCCUUUGGACACGCUGGAGACCCGAUGGGGAAAUCUGCGCUUCUGCCCGCCUCAAAGGUGUCAAGAAGCCACCUUCCCGCGGGCCCCCUCCGCCUCUCCAUCCCUCCAGGACUGCGCCCUGCCGGCCGUCUCUCCCCGCCAGGCCCCGGCUCGCGCUCGGCUCGCCGCCGCCUGCCACCUCGUGGAGCCCAAGCAAUUUGUUACAUAAAACAAAACAGCAGCCACACACAUGUGCCUGCAGACCCGCAGCGACGGACACCCAGGGAGACCUCCGCUCAAGCGCCUCGGGCCCCGUGUUUCUUUCUGUCCAUCUAAGGGCCGCAUCCACCGCCACCACCUCUGGUCGCAUCUGCCCGGCGACCAGAAGCUAAGGCAGUUCGGACUCGCGCUCCCGGGCUUGCUGGCCCACUCGCGGCGUUGCCAACCCUCUCUCCGCUGACUCCGACCGUUGAGAAAAAGAGGGGAUCAGAAAUAUUUGGUGCGCGCACAAAGACGUACCACGAAAGGCAUGCACAUUUCUGUGUGAAAUGGCUCAGAUGCGAGAAUGAGACACCGCCUCAGUGCAGCCAGCCCAGAAAUGGUUAGAAUAACCUGGUGCUGGAGAACACUGGGCUUCCGAACUCUGCCCCCAUACAUCUUAUCAGGACCCCGAAUUCCCUGCCACCUCCCAUGUUCCCCGACACAAGCUGCCUUAACCUCCAGGAGAGGGAUUCUCAGCCACCCGGCUCCCACGUACCUGCCCCCUCCCCAGGCUCUCUGUGUCACUCUGGGCUGGGGGGCUCCCAAAAGAGGCUCCACCACUGAGUGUCCAGGGGCAGCUACUCCCAUCUCUUCACUGCACCCCGACUUACCCCACCUCGUGUAACACCUGGAAAUAUCAAAUAAAGGAAAAUGCAGUGUCCCCUGUCUCCAGACUUUUCGCAGGACAGACUAACCCCAACCCUGAGUCCCCCAGGGUUGACAGAGAUAUCUUGUGUAGAAUGGAGGGUGGGCCUGUGGGAUGCAGGGGCUUGUAUGCUGAGUGCCACACACCCACAUCAUCGAACUCAGCUGGCUCCUCAAGCCAGGAACCUUAGGCCUCUCAAGGUGACUGGCUGGAAGCUGGAAGCUGGACUCCCUGCCUGAUCCCACUCCGGAAUCGAUAAUGGGAGCCCAUGGGACCCAACACCCACCUGGGUCUUGGUCUGUCUGACCUGGACCCCAUACCCCAGCCCAGGUUCAAAUGGACAGACCACAAUUCCUGUCCUCAGAACCACACAGCUGUU